rnacentral:misc_RNA from 1 species
UCACUGGCAAUAUUACGCGUGGUCUCACAAGAACUAAGUACACGGAAUAUGAUUGAUGAAAUUCUAUGUAAAAAUUCUACAUAAACGAGUUACGUAUAUUCUAAAACAACAGGCAUAUAUAGAAAAAUGGUUAACGGUUAGAAUUUUCCCCGUUUGGUUAGCAGGGAAAGAAAGGAGGAAGAAUAAUAUUGAAGAUCAAGCGAAGAACCCGAAUCAGGAUAAGCAAAUAAUUUUCAUUUCCGUUGUUUGAUUUUCUUGGGAACCAAACAAAAGUGUAUCAGCUUACCGGUGGAGAGAGAAUUUCG